rnacentral:misc_RNA from 1 species
AAGUCGUAACAAGGUUUCCGUAGGUGAACCUGCGGAAGGAUCAUUAACACGUUAUCCACGUACCUACCUCUUGCGAACUUUUUACUGUUUAAGAGUCGGCAGACCAGCGUAGAUGAUGGAGGUAGAUGUUACUAUGUCCAGCGUGAGGCCCGCCGCCCGCCCUGGUUCUACCUGCCUAACUGACUUCCCUCCCCCCUCAUGUGCUGUGUGUAUUGGGGGGUGUGUGGGCGUGGUUGGAUAUUCUGGUUCAAAUGACUCGAAUCAUAGUAGUUUUUUGUAUUAACCCCUUUUUACAAAUUUGUUGAAUUGUGAUGGUCUUGAAGGUAACACUUCAUACUCACGUUAAUAAAACACUAUACAACUCUUAGCAACGGAUAUCUCGGUUCU